GCUCCAAUUGAUUCACAAGGAGCUGCAUCCAUACCAUUAAAUUCUAUCAUGUUCUGUAACAACAAAAGAAAAGUAGAGCAGUUUUCAUUCCUCCACCCCAAAACCCAAAAUUCAAGGGGUAGACACCACAUGGGGUGGGGAGCACAGAAGCUAAGAAAUGAUCUGUUAUUUUUAGCACAAAUCAAUCAUUACAAUCAGAAGGAAGAUUGAUAUAGCACAGCAUUGGCGUAUGUACUGAAAUUUAUGACCAAGAGUUCGAACAUAUAUGAGCAGGUGCAAACAAACUUCAUACCAAUAAAAGACAAACUCACAUGCCCAUGCCACCAUAUGCAGGCAUACAUACACAGGAAAAGCAAUGGAAUAUACAAGAAUGGUUUCUUCUCGACAUUUCAGCUAUGUCAUCAUCAGAGCCAUCCCCGUACCCACAGUUAGUUGUGGCUGUGUUCCUUACUAUCACCUCACUCUUACUUCAGUUAUUUGAGAUCCCUGAUCCCCAACCCUUCCCUGUAAAUAUUUAACCUGUUUGUUGGAUCAAACUCAGUUUAUCCCUUCUUUCACUUUUCUUCUUUUUCAGAGAUUUGAAAAUUUCAUACAAUAACUAAUCACUUCUUCCCAUUAUACAUUCCAGUUCUCAACCCAAAAGAAAAAGAAAAUGAAAGAAACUAACAUGACCAAAUAGACCAUUUGAAUAAGGAAAAAGGAUAUUCCAGUCAACAUGCCUACAUCUAUGGUUAAAUUAUUUACAAUUUCUAGAUAACCAAUCAUAAGUAUGAUUAAUCUGCAUAGAGCAAUCAUUUUAAAUGAUAUGAAAUUAACAUAAUUAGAAUAAGACCUGUCUCCAGUUGUUUAUUACAUGAAAGAGCCUUGUUUUACUUCAAAUUGAUCUUCAAGUUCUUUAAAACAUGCUUCGGCCCUCAUUUUGGCCUCAGACAGCACAAAAGCUCAAAAUUUUUUUGUCACAGAGUUUACCAAAUACAAAUAUAUGUAGAAGGUAUUUGGUUUGGCUACUCACUUUUAAAUUUUAACUUAAAAUAUAUUUUUUAAUUUAUAAGUCAAAUUAAAAGUAAGUAAUUAAUUAUUUAAUAAAAUUACUUAAAAAUAACUUUUAAGUAGU
rnacentral:misc_RNA from 1 species